CCCAACAGCAUGCAGGAUAAGCAGGAUAUACUGAGGAGGUGAUCCAGGGUCCUGGCGAUACCAUUGAAGAGAGACUGCAGAUGAGUAGGUCAACAGAGUUGGCAGAAGGACCUGACCUGUCUACUGUGAUGUCAUAGGGGAAACAUUGCUUGAAGGGCAUAUCUGUAAGAUAAUUCAUCUAUUCAUCUUAAGGCAAUUCAUUAAUAUACAGGCAUUUUUGUUUUCAUCUUUAUAGCUAUAAUUUACAGCAUAAAUCUGCAACAUAUUUGGAUAACCGAAUGAGUUUCUGUCACUUUUUCAUUUGUUCAUUUGUUUCAACAAAUAAUUCACUGUUCAUUUCCAGCCUACAUUAUUUUUUUUGUCUAUUUAUGGAAACCUAAUAAUUGACAUGUUUCUCUUAGGGGAUGUUGGUGUUUUCAGUUCACAUUUUUGUACAGUGUGUCUGGGUUUCGUAUCAUUGUGGGCUCCAGGGCACAGUAGUACAGAGCAGAAUCUGCCACUUCAGCAGAGGAGAUCUCCAGAUCUACACAGGUUCUCUCAUUGUUCAGUUUAACAGACAGUCGAGGGUCUUCAGGUUUAGCUUUCACUACAGAGGGGUUUGAGGACACUCCAGUGAGGAAGAGGAAGAUGGGAGAUGAUCCAGGGUACUGUUGAUACCACUGGAGAGUACUAGCAGAGGAGUAAUUACAGGACAGAUUCAUGACAUCACCCUACAACCUAACAUCUUAUCUGUUGUUGGAGUAAUGUCAUUCCCAUAACUGCCACCUGUAAAACAUUCAUGAAAACAGGAAUUGUUAUGAGGAAAUUAUUAUAAAAUUCAAAUCAUUAUUCAGUCAAGUGCAUUAAAAAUGGACAGAAGAUCCUUCACAGGAAUAUGACUCCAGUCAUCAGUAACUACUGUUAGAUUCUGGGUGAAACUUGGAACAUUGGUAUAUUCAUAAGGAUAGUGUCCAACCGUGAACGAGACUAGUUUUUACAUCAGAAGUUAAUGGUUAUCUGUAGGAGUCAGAUGGCUUUGGAAUGUGUAGGGGAGACGGGUGGAGAUCUUAGAACCUAACAAUGUCACUGAGGGAGAGAGGGUAAUGUAUAACGUUUACAUUGUGUCAGGAUAUGUUAUUGUUAGCCAUCAGGGUUCCUCUGGGAGGAGAAGAGACACAGUCUGGUAUCAAUAACCAUGACUGCCUUGAGUUGGGGAGGAGUGAGCACUUUGGGGUAGAGGUCAGGUUAGAUGAAGUGAGGAAGAACAGAUAUCACUAAGGUUCUGUCUAGCAACAGUGAUGCAUUGGCUGUUCAGUUGUGGAGAAGGAGACUCAGCCUUGGAGAAAGGGUUAAAUAUCAGUUCAUGUAUGAAAUGUUGUUUGUCUGAAUGCAGCUGUAUCGACCCUUUGGGAAGAAUUAAACUUGGUUAAGCUUC